UUCCUUCAAAAUAAAAUGACAAAAUCUUUAAUUAGCUAUGACAUUAUAGAUUUCAAAAUGACCUUGGAGGGAGAAAAAAUUCUUAAAUGUUUCAGAUGUAAUGUUUUAUAAUUUUGAAAUGACUUUUUUCUCGUUUUUUUUUUCAGAUAAAAAAUAUGGAAUCCAAAGAAUCUGGGAAGCGGGCCCAAACCGUAAGUCCCUCAUGGUUAAAUAUUUACAUGUAUAAUGUCUUUCUUUUUUUUAAAAAAAAAAAGCUUGGCUUCUGGUAUGCUUAAAGUAAAAGCCAAGUGCAGCAAUUUUUCUUUAGGAUCAGUUUAAGUUAAUUUAAUAUACACCCCCAAAAUAUGCAUGCCUAAGACUUUUUUAAAUUAUUUGCAGUCACCAACAGAGGCGCAGCAAAAGAAAAGGAGUAAAUCAGAUGUAAGUCCCUUUAUUUGGUUAAUCUUAUUUUCUAUUACAAUAUCUUAGUUACGCCCCCUUGACUCACUCUCAAAUCAUUGUGUUAUAUAGGUAUUCUUAUACUAAUAGGUUGAAAUAUGCAUAUUUAUAAUGUCUUUUUUUAAAAAAAAUAGAAGCUUGGCUUCUGGUCAGUAUAAAGCAACAAUCUUUCUUUAGGAUCAGGUUAAGUUAAUUUAAUGUUCCCCCACACACACAUGCAUGCCUAGACACAUUAAUUAAGACUUUUUUAAAUUAUUUGCAGUCUCAGACGAUAAUACCCGUGCCUGGAACAAGUUGUAAGUACAAUACAGAACUUUUAUAUAACUAAAGUAAAUAUAUUAUUUAUUAAUUAAUUUAAUUCAAAAUGAACUUGGAGGGAAAAAAGAUUCUUAAAUGUUUCAGAUGUAAUGUUUUAUAAUUUUGAAAUGACUUUUUUCUGUUUGUUUUUUUUUUUCAAAACAGCAGCAGACAAGAAAAAACCCCCAUCACAAGUAAGUCCCUCUGAUUUUAUUUAAAACAUGACUGCCAUGUUUACUUUGAGUGCUUGGGUGUAGCGUUUAAAGUAAGUACAAGCCUAGUGGAACAAUUUUUCUUUAGGUUUAGGUUAAGUUAAUUUAAUGUAACCCCCCCCCAAAAAAAAAAAUAUGCAUGCCUAGACACAUUAAUUAAAACUUUUUUUAAUUAUUUGCAGCAUGACAACACAGAAGCAAGUUCCAGCUACAAUUUCAGUGAUGAUACAAACAGUACGUACAAUACAGAACAUUUUUUUAACUUUUUAAAGGAAAUUUUCAGAAUGCCUGUAUUGAUGACAUAAAUUAUUAAGUCUUUUUGCAUAUUUUUUUUUUUCAGCCAUGAGACUUUCAAGAGACAUUAGAACGUCUAACACCAGAUGGCUGGCAGCUGAAGCCUUAAGUUACAACUUUAUGUUCUCAACAGGAAGGCUACAGGAAGACGACUUUAAUAUUUUAUACCAUGAAUUAAACAAUCACAUUAAGCAAUAUGUGGAGUCGAAGGAGCCUCACAAUCAAUAAAUUGAACAGCAGCCUGGGGAUAUUAUAUCUGCCACUGCUUACAAAUAGUUUGGAAGUAACAGGCAAGAAUGGAGGAACAAGUCCAAGGACAAAGCCAUCUGAUGAUGGGUCAUGCUGUUGAGGAGCACAGAGAAAUGUUUCGAAGCUUGCUCCACAUAUGAAUUAAGUUACGAAAUGUAGGUGAACAAGGAAUGACUCCAGCAGCAAUCCCAUGUUUCAGCAUGACAACACAGAAGCAAGUUCCAGCUACAAUUUCAGUGAUGAUACAAACAGUACGUACAAUACAGAACAUUUUUUUAACUUUUUAAAGGAAAUUUUCAGAAUGCCUGUAUUGAUGACAUAAAUUAUUAAGUCUUUUUGCAUAUUUUUUUUUUUCAGCCAUGAGACUUUCAAGAGACAUUAGAACGUCUAACACCAGAUGGCUGGCAGCUGAAGCCUUAAGUUACAACUUUAUGUUCUCAACAGGAAGGCUACAGGAAGACGACUUUAAUAUUUUAUACCAUGAAUUAAACAAUCACAUUAAGCAAUAUGUGGAGUCGAAGGAGCCUCACAAUCAAUAAAUUGAAGUAAGUAAUAAAUAAAAUAAAGAAAUUUUUUCACGAUAAAGGUGAAAACAAAGUCAUCAUGCACAGCAUAUCCUUGUGUUCUUUUGUCACUGAUUCAGUGUUUUUAUUGCCAAAACUGACACCACAAAGAGAGUGAUAGCAUAUCUAACCAUACACUGAAAACCACUGACAUUUCAUCAAUACAUGAAAGAUGUUGCUACUCAUAACGAGAUAAUUGUUACUACAGAGCAGGCUCUUUUAGUCAAAAUGCUUCUUUGAUAGAAAUAGUGGGCAGGCAGGUAGAAAUUGUGGUGCUAGUUAUGUAGGGCAAAGGUUGGGAUACUGAGAGCAUACUUGAUUGUUUUUGUUUUGUUUUUGCAAGUCAAUAUGUUUUCCUGUUUGGGUUGCAUAUGACCCUGAAGUAGACUGUAGUUUCAUGUACAAAUGUAUUACAAUGAAACAUUUGUAUUUGACUUUUAACCAUCACAAUUUCCCUUUGUGCACAGCAGCAGCCUGGGGAUAUUAUAUCUGCCACUGCUUACAAAUAGUUUGGAAGUAACAGGCAAGAAUGGAGGAACAAGUCCAAGGACAAAGCCAUCUGAUGGUCAGUGAAAUAAGAAAUCAAAGAAAAUAACCAUGCAUGUGUUUAAUUUAUCAAUGUAAGCAUGGCUUUAUCAUUCAUGAUUUGUUUAUGAAGAAAGUUAACCCUGCCUAUUACCCUGUUCUGGGUAAUCUCUGCAUGUUGUACACCUGUUUACAAGUGCAACUGCUUUGAUGUGAUAUGGUUCUAGUGAUUCUACCUCUUAUUAGUUUUCCUUUCUAAUCCACAAAUAGUAAUCAACACUAGAAGCAAGCCUACAUGAAUCUAUUUACAUAAGUGGUGUUGGCCAUCAACUUCCUGUUGCCUCCUAGCUGCUUUAAAGCUCAUAAAUAGUAAGAAACAGAAAUACGUUUUACUUCAACUGAAUGGCACAUCGGUAAGAAGUGAAUAAAUUGAAAUGCCUUGUUUUUGCUUAUCAUUAAAGGACUAAUAUUUUGAUUGCAGAUGGGUCAUGCUGUUGAGGAGCACAGAGAAAUGUUUCGAAGCUUGCUCCACAUAUGAAUUAAGUUACGAAAUGUAGGUGAACAAGGAAUGACUCCAGCAGCAAUCCCAUGUUUCAGCAUGACAACACAGAAGCAAGUUCCAGCUACAAUUUCAGUGAUGAUACAAACAGUACGUACAAUACAGAACAUUUUUUUAACUUUUUAAAGGAAAUUUUCAGAAUGCCUGUAUUGAUGACAUAAAUUAUUAAGUCUUUUUGCAUAUUUUUUUUUUCAGCCAUGAGACUUUCAAGAGACAUUAGAACGUCUAACACCAGAUGGCUGGCAGCUGAAGCCUUAAGUUACAACUUUAUGUUCUCAACAGGAAGGCUACAGGAAGACGACUUUAAUAUUUUAUACCAUGAAUUAAACAAUCACAUUAAGCAAUAUGUGGAGUCGAAGGAGCCUCACAAUCAAUAAAUUGAAGUAAGUAAUAAAUAAAAUAAAGUAAUUUUUUCACGAUAAAGGUGAAAACAAAGUCAUCAUGCACAGCAUAUCCUUGUGUUCUUUUGUCACUGAUUCAGUGUUUUUAUUGCCAAAACUGACACCACAAAGAGAGUGAUAGCAUAUCUAACCAUACACUGAAAACCACUGACAUUUCAUCAAUACAUGAAAGAUGUUGCUACUCAUAACGAGAUAAUUGUUACUACAGAGCAGGCUCUUUUAGUCAAAAUGCUUCUUUGAUAGAAAUAGUGGGCAGGCAGGUAGAAAUUGUGGUGCUAGUUAUGUAGGGCAAAGGUUGGGAUACUGAGAGCAUACUUGAUUGUUUUGUUUUGUUUUUGCAAGUCAAUAUGUUUUCCUGUUUGGGUUGCAUAUGACCCUGAAGUAGACUGUAGUUUCAUGUACAAAUGUAUUACAAUGAAACAUUUGUAUUUGACUUUUAACCAUCACAAUUUCCCUUUGUGCACAGCAGCAGCCUGGGGAUAUUAUAUCUGCCACUGCUUACAAAUAGUUGGAAGUAACAGGCAAGAAUGGAGGAACAAGUCCAAGGACAAAGCCAUCUGAUGGUCAGUGAAAUAAGAAAUCAAAGAAAAUAACCAUGCAUGUGUUUAAUUUAUCAAUGUAAGCAUGGCUUUAUCAUUCAUGAUUUGUUUAUGAAGAAAGUUAACCCUGCCUAUUACCCUGUUCUGGGUAAUCUCUGCAUGUUGUACACCUGUUUACAAGUGCAACUGCUUUGAUGUGAUAUGGUUCUAGUGAUUCUACCUCUUAUUAGUUUUCCUUUCUAAUCCACAAAUAGUAAUCAACACUAGAAGCAAGCCUACAUGAAUCUAUUUACAUAAGUGGUGUUGGCCAUCAACUUCCUGUUGCCUCCUAGCUGCUUUAAAGCUCAUAAAUAGUAAGAAACAGAAAUACGUUUUACUUCAACUGAAUGGCACAUCGGUAAGAAGUGAAUAAAUUGAAAUGCCUUGUUUUUGCUUAUCAUUAAAGGACUAAUAUUUUGAUUGCAGAUGGUCAUGCUGUUGAG